CCAGCAGCCGCGGUAAUUCCAGCUCCAAUAGCGUAUAUUAAAGUUGUUGCAGUUAAAAAGCUCGUAGUUGGAUUUGUGGCAGUCGUGUGCGACCCGACACACUGUGUCAGUGUUUGCGUACGUCGCCAUCCUUGGGUGGAACCUGCGUGGCAUUAGGUUGUCGUGCAGGGGAUGCCCAUCGUUUACUGUGAAAAAAUUAGAGUGUUCAAAGCAGGCUUAUGCCGUUGAAUAUGUUAGCAUGGAAUAAUAAGAUAGGACCUUGGUACUAUUUUGUUGGUUUGCGCACCAAGGUAAUGAUUAAUAGGGACAGUUGGGGGUAUUCGUAUUCCAUUGUCAGAGGUGAA
rnacentral:rRNA from 1 species